AGAGAAUAUUAGGGAGAUCGAGGGAGUCAUGCGGUGGAGUCCAUCGUCUCAGCCCAAGUGACAAAGAACAAAAGGCUGACAGUCCAGACCUACUACCAUUCAUUCUAAAUUCAUAUUACCGAAUGCCAUUUAAACCUUUUAGAAUCUAUCUUAGCUCUUCGCACCCCAGUGCCACUAGCCACCAGGUUGCCGUCGUCCUGCCGUGUUCACAGUUCACACCGCCAUCAAACAGUAAUUUUUGGGUUUUAAAUUUAUACCUUUUAGUUACAUGGAAUUAUAUUCUAUAUAUGAAUAUGGUUAUUGAUUUUGGAUUGUGUAGAUUGUAGGAAUAUGUUUGUAUUGAGAAAAUGAUUGUGAAUAUGUGAUAAAUUUUAUCAUGGUUCUUGAUUUUGGACAGUGAACAGAAGGUGUUUGUGGAAAUGUCUUUAAGAAAAAAUUAGAUUUCAUUUUCUUUA